CAGAGGGUGCAAGCGUUAAUCGGAUUUACUGGGCGUAAAGCGUGUGUAGGUGGUUGGGAAAGUCAAUUGUGAAAUCCCCGGGCUUAACUCGGGAACUGCUUUUGAUACUGUCUGACUAGAAUUCGGUAGAGGGAGGCGGAACUCCAGGUGUAGCGGUGAAAUGCGUAGAUAUCUGGAAGAACACCAAUGGCGAAGGCAACCUCCUGGGCCUGAAUUGACACUGAGACACGAAAGCGUGGGGAUCAAACAGGAUUAGAUACCCUGGUAGUCCACGCCGUAAACGAUGACAACUUGACGUCGGUUUGCUCUGCGAAUCGGUGUCGUAGCUAACGCGAUAAGUUGUCCGCCUGGGGAGUACGGCGCAAGGUUG
rnacentral:rRNA from 1 species